UGUUGUUAUGUUAUGUUUUUCACAAAGGACUAUCUCCGCAAGUUAAGAUCAGAGCGAGAAAUUCAAGUAAAGGAAAUUAAGCGAACAAGGUUGAGCAGUGAUGACGGCGGGCGGUGUUGAGCACAGACAAAUGAAGAUCCUUCGAUAGAAUAGUACUUGGAUGCGUCGUGUCUCCAUACACGAUGUCAUCUGCUCUUGACUCUUCCGCUGCAAUGUAAAGGUCGAGUUUACACUCCUUGUAUUAUGCACUCUGAUUUAUACAUAUAUUCCAAGUUAUUUCAGUUCAUGUUCA